AUUGGAUCCGUGUCGAAACGCGUGUGAUAAAAUGUCCGAUCGACUCGCGGUCGGCAGGCUUGUCACCAUUUAACGGGAGCUCGAAAACCCGGCCGCGAUCCCGGAAUCGGAGGGAAAAAAUGAACGAAACGGAAGGAAAUACGGAACGAAACGAAAACGAAUUUAACUAUCCACGGGCCGUCGUUCGGGCCGGAGCGGGAAACUCCGGGAAACUCGUCUUUUUCUCGUGAAAAAAAAAAAAAAGAAAAAGGUGGUGGAGAGAUUAAAAGUUGCCGCGAACCUAUUACCCUCUGAUACGUAUCCGCCAUUAACGUUUUUAAUCCUCGAUUCUGGUCUCGUAUGAAAUCCUCGAAGGGGAAACUUUUAACCGUUCCCUUUGACCGUUGGUUCGCGAAUAGGAGACGAGAGUAUUUGGCGAUGGAUCGUGAAGAUUCGGAGG